rnacentral:rRNA from 1 species
GGGUGAGUAACACGUGGAUAACCUACCUAUAAGACUGGGAUAACUUCGGGAAACCGGAGCUAAUACCGGAUAAUAUUUUGAACCGCAUGGUUCAAAGUUAAAGACGGUCUUGCUGUCACUUAUAGAUGGAUCCGCGCUGCAUUAGCUAGUUGGUAAGGUAACGGCUUACCAAGGCAACGAUGCAUAGCCGACCUGAGAGGGUGAUCGGCCACACUGGAACUGAGACACGGUCCAG